CAGUCGCCGCGGUAAUACCGAGGGUGCGAGCGUUAAUCGGAUUUACUGGGCGUAAAGCGUGCGUAGGCGGCUAAUUGAGUCGGAUGUGAAAUCCCUGAGCUUAACUUAGGAAUUGCAUUCGAUACUGGGAAGCUAGAGUAUGGGAGAGGAUGGUAGAAUUCCAGGUGUAGCGGUGAAAUGCGUAGAGAUCUGGAGGAAUACCGAUGGCGAAGGCAGCCAUCUGGCCUAAUACUGACGCUGAGGUACGAAAGCAUGGGGAGCAAACAGGAUUAGAUACCCCAGUAGUCCCUGUCUCUUAUAC
rnacentral:rRNA from 1 species